AACAAUGGCUGCCGCCAAUGUCCCAGUCCCUGGAGAGGUCUCUCUUCUCACCGAGAUGCACUCAGGGCCUAUCAGCAGAUUGUCCUCCAUAAUGUGGAUAGGCCUCACCCAACCAGUUGAAGGCCCGAAUAGAACAAAAAGACCAGCCUUCCCAAGCAAGAGGGAAUUCGCCAGUAGACUCUCUUUGGACUUCAUCUGCACCAAUGGUUCUCUUGGGUCUCCAGCCUACCAGCCCACACUGCAGAUUUUGGACUCACCAGCCUCCAUAACUGUGUGAGCCAAUUCCUUAUAAUAAAUCUCUUCCUAUAUGUACA